rnacentral:rRNA from 1 species
UGGGGAAUAUUGGACAAUGGGGGCAACCCUGAUCCAGCGAUGCCGCGUGGGUGAAGAAGGCCUUCGGGUUGUAAAGCCCUUUAGGUUGGGAAGAAGGUAUUUAGGGGAUAAUCCUAAGUACUUGACGGUACCGACAGAAUAAGCACCGGCAAACUCUGUGCCAGCAGCCGCGGUAAUACAGAGGGUGCGAGCGUUAAUCGGAGUUACUGGGCGUAAAGGGCGCGUAGGCGGUUAUAUGGGUGUGAUGUGAAAGCCCUGGGCUUAACCUGGGAAGUGCAUCGCAAACUAUAUGGCUAGAGUACAAGAGAGGGUGGCGGAAUUUCCGGUGUAGCGGUGAAAUGCGUAGAGAUCGGAAGGAACGUCAAUGGCGAAGGCAGCCACCUGGCUUGAUACUGACGCUGAAGCGCGAAAGCGUGGGGAGCGAACAG